UAGCAUAUCAAUAAGCGGAGGAAAGAACCACAGGGAUUGCCCCAGUAACGGCGAGUGAAGCGGCAACAGCUCAAAUUUGAAAUCUGGCCCCCAGGGCCCGAGUUGUAAUUUGCAGAGGAUGCUUUUGGCGCGGCGCCUUCCGAGUUCCCUGGAACGGGACGCCAUAGAGGGUGAGAGCCCCGUCUGGUCGGACGCCAAGCCAGUGUAAAGCUCCUUCGACGAGUCGAGUAGUUUGGGAAUGCUGCUCUAAAUGGGAGGUAUAUGUCUUCUAAAGCUAAAUAUAGGCCAGAGACCGAUAGCGCACAAGUAGAGUGAUCGAAAGAUGAAAAGCACUUUGAAAAGAGGGUUAAACAGUACGUGAAAUUGUUGAAAGGGAAGCACUUGUGACCAGACUUGGGCCCGGUGAAUCAUCCAGCGUUCUCGCUGGUGCACUUCGCCGGGCCCAGGCCAGCAUCAGUUCGCCGCGGGGGAUAAAAGCUUCGGGAACGUAGCUCCCUCGGGAGUGUUAUAGCCCGUUGCAUAAUACCCUGCGGUGGACUGAGGUUCGCGCUCCGCAAGGAUGCUGGCGUAAUGGUCACCAGUGACCCGUCUUGAAACACGGACCAAGGAGUCGUCUUCGUAUGCGAGUGUUCGGGUGUCAAACCCCUACGCGUAAUGAAAGUGAACGCAGGUGAGAGCUUCGGCGCAUCAUCGACCGAUCCUGAUGUUCUCGGAUGGAUUUGAGUAAGAGCAUACGGGGCCGGACCCGAAAGAAGGUGAACUAUGCCUGUAUAGGGUGAAGCCAGAGGAAACUCUGGUGGAGGCUCGCAGCGGUUCUGACGUGCAAAUCGAUCGUCAAAUAUGGGCAUGGGGGCGAAAGACUAAUCGAACCUUCUAGUAGCUGGUUUCCGCCGA
rnacentral:rRNA from 1 species